CUGGUCUACAGAGCAAGUUCCAGGACAGCCUCCAAAACAAUACAGAGAAACCCUGUCUUGAAAAUCCAAAAAAAUUGUUUGACUUUAAUUUGGGGGUUUGUUCUCAUGCUAGGAGGGGAAGAAGAAACUUGAAUUAUUGUGAAAAGUCAUCAUCAGUUUGAGCAUUGUGCUCAAAAGAACAGAUUGUGGCUAAAAUGACUGCCUGCUCCCAGGCUGAUGUCCCCUCUGGCCAAGGUCUCUUGUUCCCACAAAUCAAGGCAAAGUGCAUCCUCUGGUUGACCUUGGAUCCCCCUGAAUACACUUAUUUCAGUGACUUUACAAAUCAUUUUUCAUAGCUGAUCCCAUGGAUUUUCAAGAGGCUCACAUAUCCCCUGCUGUAUUAUGUUCACUUAGGGAUAUACAAGCAAAAUCAUUUUGACCACAUUCUGUAGCAUUUCUGUGUGUAUGUAGCACAACAUACUUAACUUUUGAGGGGAAAAUCAAUGGUUGGGGAUUCAUUUUCAUACAGAAAGUUUAGAAAGAAUGCAUAACUGAUUGAUGGUAAUUUUGAAACACUACUUGAUCUUGAAUGAAAUUCUUGACUCAAUUUCUUUUUGAAGUUCAAGCCUAGUAGAACUUUGCCUUGAAUGCAGUAGUUCUCUUUGAUUUUUCAAGGUUUAGUGAUGACUAUGGGACAGGCACUAUGAAACUUUUUGUGUUUAUCUUUUUCUAAUUUCUAAAACAACCCUAUGUGGAAGAGGCAUCCUGUUUCACCGAGGCAGCUAAUGAUCAGGAGGAAAUCAAGAAAUUUGCAUUUCCUAAUAGUCAGUAGUAAUUUUGAGUAUCUUGUUUUGAGCAUAUUUACCUCUUAUGUAUCUUUCUUGAUUUAAAUAUUUUGUCAAUGCAAGUCCCUGAGAAGGUACAUAAUUAUCUUCUCCUAUUCCAAGAAUCGUCUUAAUAGCACAAUUUUUUGAGACAGGAUCUCAUGUAGCCCAUGUUGGCUUCAGACAUACUAUGUAACCAGAGAUAUACUUGAACUUGUGAUCCUCUUGUCUCUGACCCUCCCCUCAGCCGUAUAGUUUGGUUUUUAUAAGUUCAAUUUAUCUAUGUUUACCUUACUUAUUUGGGCUUUGGGUCAUAGUUAAAAAUCAAGUUUUCUUCUACUAUUUUUUAUCUUUUGUAUUUGGUAGUUCAAUCAUUUUGAGAUACUGUCUGUAUAGAUUAGGAAGAAUUAAAACAUUUUUAAAACAUAGUUUCAAUACUAUUUGUUAAAAUAACUUAACAAUUUCCAUUGACUUGUGUUGCUGCUCUUGUCAAAAACCCAAUACACUAUAAAUAUAAAGAUUUCAAACUUAUUUUGUGUAUUAAUUAUACUUUCUAUGGAGAUUGUUUAGACAUUUUUCCUUUAUAAAAAUGAGAUAGUAACAUACAAAGUGGACUCACUUGCUGUCAAAUCCUUACUGAAAGAAUUUUAUACUCAUGAAAGAAUAGUAACUUUUAAUAUUGAAUGUAAAUAUGGCCAGAUAUGGUGAUUCACGCUUGCAAAACUACUACUUUGAAGACCAAGGCAGUAUUGCUGUCAGAAUGAGGCAUAUCUGGCUAACAGAUUUAGUUUCAUACUAGUUUAGACCAUACAUUGAAACUCUGUCUCAAAAUAAACAAACAAAACAAAAUAAAAACAAAACCAGGCAGGUAACAACCCAAAAGAAAAUGUAAUUGAGUCUCUGUUAAAAUAAAUUAAUUUUACCGGG